rnacentral:rRNA from 1 species
UACGGAAUGUGCAAACGUUAUUCGGAAUCACUGGGCUUAAAGAGUCCGUAGGCGGCAUGUUAGGUGAGGUGUGAAAUCCCCCGGCUCAACCGAGGAAUUGCGCUUCAAACCGGCGUGCUAGAGGAAGAUAGAGGUGGGCGGAACUGAUGGUGGAGCGGUGAAAUGCGUUGAUAUCAUCAGGAACACCGGAGGCGAAGGCGGCCCACUGGGUCUUUUCUGACGCUGAGGCGCGAAAGCCAGGGGAGCGAACGGG